rnacentral:tRNA from 1 species
GGGCCCGUAGUCUAGUACAACGGGUAAAUCCAGUAUCAUAGGAAUUUUCCGUGCUGACGGAUUAUGACACUGGCCUGCGGAGCCGGAGGUCCUGGGUUCAAAUCCCAGCGGGCCCGCCA